AAAAGGAGAAGAGAGCAAAUUUUUGCCAGAAAAAGAAAAUCUGUGACUAUGAUACACACCUUCAUCUGUCACACCCCAUUCUCCUUUGCACCUUUCUUCCACUAGAAUAUUUCUUGGAUUCACUUUCCUGUCGGUGACUCUCAUGGGGACAAUGACCCAUCAUCAUGUCUAUGAAUUUCUCUUUCUUGAAAAACAUAAACGUUUCAAUAAAACAAAUAAACAAUUAAUUAAUCUCUCUCAGUCUUUUUUUUUCUAAUUUCUUUUUCUCAUGGUCACUCAUCACAACCUGCGAGUCCUUUUUCGUCUUUACAGUUUUCAUGUCUUUAUAACUCUGGUUGUCUUUGCUUCUCCUCAGCGCAGGAAUCUAUAAAACAAUACCAGAAUUAGGGUUUCUGGUAGCACCUGCUUUUGAGUUUUUAGCUCUAAUGAGGAAGAAGGAAAAAUGUACAUGUGCAGUUGUUCUAUUACAGCAUAGCCUAGUCACAUUGGGAGGGAAAGAGAGUGAAGGAGCUUCCCUCAGCCCAUUCAUGGAGAUAACGAAAGAUUGGGUUGCUGAAUUAACUGCUAGCUCACACAUUCAUUCAUACAAUAGUAUUCAAUUAGGGUAAUAUUGUGUGAAUGAAGCGGGAGUAUAUAGUAUCUAUAUUGGAACCCUCUUUCUCUGUGCUUGGACUGAAGGGAGCUCCUUCUUUUUCUGCUCCCUCCAUUUGUAUCAUCCAUGUCUCAAAGGGCUUUAUGCAUAUUGUCUAAAGCUUAAUCUACAUAAUAUGAUGCUCAGCACAAAAAAAGGUGAGGCCUGUACACUGUAUCUGAUGCUACAUGACUUCGUCUUGUAGCUCUUUGUAAGUAUUUACUCUUUAUCACAACUGCCAAAGAUUCAGCAAACAUAUCUGAACAGUUUGCAUGAGUUUAAUAGCCUGGUCAUCCCCACACUUGGUACUAUUUUUACAUGAAAAUCAUGAUCUCCAAUACAUCUAUAUACAUGUAUAAAUCUUACAAUACAGUACAUGUACACAUAAUGCAGUAUAUAGCACUUGCAUAUAAAUUUAUGUCACUAUUUUAUACGCAUGUUAAUUUCUUUCAUUAGUAGAUAAUGAUACAGUAUGCUACUUUGCUUCGAA